GCCGGUGUGGCGGAAUUGGUAGACGCAGUGGAUUCAAAAUCCGCCGCUUAAUAGGCGUGUCGGUUCGAGUCCGACCACCGGCACCA
rnacentral:tRNA from 1 species